rnacentral:rRNA from 1 species
CAGUCGCCGCGGUAAUACAGAGGGUGCGAGCGUUAAUCGGAAUUACUGGGCGUAAAGCGUGCGCAGGCGGUUAUAUAAGACAGAUGUGAAAUCCCCGGGCUCAACCUGGGAACUGCAUUUGUGACUGUAUAGCUAGAGUACGGCAGAGGGGGAUGGAAUUCCGCGUGUAGCAGUGAAAUGCGUAGAUAUGCGGAGGAACACCGAUGGCGAAGGCAAUCCCCUGGGCCUGUACUGACGCUCAUGCACGAAAGCGUGGGGAGCAAACAGGAUUAGAUACCCCAGUAGUCCCUGUCUCUUAUAC